AGCCAAAAUCAAGAGUUGGACGCUCAGCUGACUGAGCCACCCAGGUGCCCCGGCACCACCUAAGUAUGGGCACUGCUGGGACGUAACAAUGAAUAAGGCGAUUUCCUGAAUAAAUCUGAAGACCGAGAGUCAAAAUGAUGCAGAGGGAAUACUGGGGAGAACAACUAACUCUGCCUGAGGAAGUUGAAAUUUGAGGCGGUAUUGAAGGAUUUUUUCUUUAUGACUGUGUAGCUUUCGCUGAAGAGGGAUGCAACUCAGAGGAAGAGAUCACUAAAAUCAGUUUCUCCUUGAAGGACAUCACACGGCUUCCGGACUAGUGAUUCUCAGACUUGGAUGUACAUUGGAAUCACCUGGGCGGCUCUUAAAACUGUCAAG